rnacentral:rRNA from 1 species
UACGUAGGGGGCAAGCGUUGUCCGGAUUUAUUGGGCGUAAAGAGCUCGUAGGUGGUUUGGUAAGUCGGAUGUGAAAUCUCCUCGCUCAACGGGGAGAGGCCAUUGGAAACGGUCGAGCUGGAGGGCAGUAGAGGCAGGCGGAGUUCCGGGUGGAGUGGUGAAAUGCGUAGAGAUCCGGAGGAACACCAGAGGCGAAGGCGGCCUGCUGGGCUGCACCUGACGCUGAGCCGCGAAAGCCAGGGGAGCGAACGGG